UGGAUGGUCUGAGGAGGAUGUCCCCAUAGGCUCUGGUGCUGUUUGGGACCUUCAGAGGCAUAACCUGAGAGAAGUGUGCAGCUUUGGGAGGAAGAUGCCACCAUUCUGGGUGUACCCUCUGUAUACUGUCCAUGGUUCACAGUGUGAACUCCCAGCUUCUGCUCCGGCUGUGACGUGUUGCCAGGCUCCCUGCCACGACAAACUCCUAUCCCUUUGGAACUGUGAGGCCAGCCUGGGUCAGGAUGCUUUAUCACAGCAAGAGAAAGGACAACCCGGAACUGCAGUGAAGAGGGAAACACACUGCCAACCUGGUAGAAAGAGCGCCACCUGCCGAAACUUCCUGAAAUGACAUAGGUUCAGUGAUAGCCCAGGAACAUAUAGCCCAGACUGGCUUGCAACUUGAAUCAGCCCUCCCGCCUUUGGACGUUAGACUAUAGAUAUGAGCCAACAUAUUUGGCUAUCCUUGGAUUUUGAAAAUAUUUCUCCAAGGUCUGUCUAGUCCUCUACAAUAUAGCAUUUUCUUUGGAGUACUAUUUUUUCAGUUGUUGGAGCUCUGGAGACACUCCUGCUUCCUGACCUGCUUGAGUUCCAGUCCUGACUUCCUUUCAGUGAUGAACAGCAAUGUGGAAGUAUAAGCUGAAUAAACCCUUUCCUCCCCAACUUGCUUCUUGGUUAUGAUGACUAUGCAGGAAUAGAGACCCUAACUAAGACAAUAGUCCAAGGUAAUUUUGGUUCUGGAUCCGUAACAUUCUGACUCUACACAAUCAUGAAGUUCUAAUUAAUAAGCUGGAUAGAAUCUACAACAUAGUUCUAGUCUUUUAAAAAAAAAAGUAGGGACUUUAAUUUACACAGG
rnacentral:lncRNA from 1 species